AUUGAACGCUGGCGGCAGGCCUAACACAUGCAAGUCGAGCGGAGCGGCGGACGGGUGCGUAAUGCCUAGGAAUCUGCCUGGUAGCGGGGGAUAACGUCCGGAACCGGGCGCUAAUACCGCAUACUAUCAGAUGAGCCUCGGUCGGAUUAGCUAGUUGUUGGGGUAAAGGCAUACCAAGGCGACGAUCAGUAACUGGUCCGAGAGGAUGAGCAGACACACGGUAACUGAGACACGGUCCAGACUCCUACGGGAGGCAGCAGUGGGGAAUAUUGUACAAUGGGCGAAAGCCUGAUCCAGCCAUGCCGCGUGUGUGAAGAAGGUCUUCGGAUUGUAAAGCACUUUAAGUUGGGAGGCGUUACCAACAGAAUAAGCACCGGCUAACUUCGUGCCAGCAGCCGCGGUAAUAC
rnacentral:rRNA from 1 species